CAUGUUUUUGACAUUGUUUGGAUGAAUUCAUACCAAGUAAUUAUUCUAACCAAGGUUUGGAUAGCAAAUCCUAGAAGUAUUAUCCAUGGAUGUUAGCUAUUCCCACACCUUGUUUUGGCAAGGCUUGUACACGACCUCAAGCCUAUACAAGGGAGCUAAGGAAAAUCUCACCUUUGUAAUCAAUAUAUGAGGUGUAUUUUGAGAAGCUUUUGUAUCUUUUUUC
rnacentral:lncRNA from 1 species